GGUAAGAAGACAGAUGAGAGAGAGGACCAACGCUGGGGAACAUUCAGCAGAAGACUUUUCAGCUCCUGAACUUCUUAAGACGCCGAUCUGGUUGCGCUUCUCCUCUUGACCUCGGAGCAGGACUAAAGAGGGUGUGUUGAAAAUGAAAACUUACAAGAAAAGAGAUCAUGCUAAUAAUAAGCUCAAUCUGUGUCCGCGUUCAGGGCACUUCUUUCUUCAAAUCAGAACUGGCCUUUUCAAGAUCGAGGACUCGGUUCGAGUUUUCAGGCCUUCCUCUUUGGCGCCCAGGAAACUAAGCUUGCCCUUGGCAAAGAGCAGCCCCUACCCUACCUGCUGGUCCCUUGUCUUGCCCCACUCUGUUCAUCAAGACGUGAUCACACAAGGCAAGCUUCUCUGGUUCCUAGCGAGAUACUGGUGGGUAAUCCUAAGGUUGGGCUUUCCAAGUGCUGUCGAAAAAAGAAAAAAAAAAAAAAAAGAAAAGAAAAUGAGACCUGUCUAAAACUAAUUUCUCACACUAUGAAGGUGUGAGAAGGUGUCGGUGCUUUUUUUUCCAUCACUCUACACUGGCUUUCAUGCACAGACAAAAUUUAUGUGAGCGUAUACCAACAGCAUCAUUCAGCAACCCAGCCAAACCACUCUUGUUUCAGCCUUCCUUCCAGGCUCCCCACCCACCCAUUAGAAAACAUAUAUUAUAUGAAAAUGUCUGCAUCCUACUAUUUUUUUGAAAGUAACUCUGCUGUUGCCACUAUUUAAUUUGUUUCUCUGGAAUGAGUUACUGCAAAAUACUUCUUGGUACAAUUUCAAAUUUGAUAAGCUUUCAGAUAAAUAUUUUUACCCAAACUCCGAAAACCGAUAGGGAUUCCAAAAUAGCACACAGCGGUAAACGGCAUUUAUUGUUCCAUAAAUCCUGGGACUUCAAAAAAGAAAUGCUAAAUAGAUAAACAAAACUCUAAAGCAAUUAAGAGACAAGCUCACUUCUCUCACACUGGUGGGCACAGGAAACAUUUGGUCACACAAAAGCAGUUAAGAUGACAAGUGAGUCACUGAUUUUUUUUUUUUUUUUUUUUUUGUCUUAAUCAGGCUUGAACUCUGCUGUUCUGAGUUCAUGCAUUUACACAGUACCAUCAUUCUGGAGAAUUCCUAAUGGCUAAGAUGGUGAGAUUUUAUUUUAUCUAUAUUCACAUCCAUAAAAACAAAAUAAAUAUAAAGAUGAUCCCUAUUUUUUAAAAAGA
rnacentral:lncRNA from 12 species